rnacentral:rRNA from 1 species
UACGAAGGGGGCUAGCGUUGUUCGGAAUUACUGGGCGUAAAGCGCACGUAGGCGGAUUUGUAAGUCAGGGGUGAAAUCCCGGGGCUCAACCUCGGAACUGCCUUUGAUACUGCAAGUCUCGAGUCCGAUAGAGGUGAGUGGAACUGCGAGUGUAGAGGUGAAAUUCGUAGAUAUUCGCAAGAACACCAGUGGCGAAGGCGGCUCACUGGCCCGGUACUGACGCUGAGGUGCGAAAGCGUGGGGAGCAAACAGG